rnacentral:tRNA from 1 species
GAAUAUGAAGCAAAUUGCAAUUAGUUUCGACCUAAUAAAUUGAUAUUAAUUUAUCCUUAUUCU